rnacentral:lncRNA from 1 species
CACUCGGCACCACCAAGCAAUCACUCAAUCAGCUCUUGGGUCCAGACUAUUUCCUUUUAUAAAAAGCUUGUAAGGACCCUACACAAUGGAGUAGAACAUAUCUCGUUCAAUUGGCCGGGCAUUAAAUAGGGAAUACUUUAGGUUCAGUGUAGGAGGUAUGACUGAUGUGGCUGAGAUAAAGGGACACAGGAGGACAUAUGUUGGUCCCUUGCCUGGUAAAGUGAUACAGUUUAAAGAAAGUACAAAUUGAGAAUCCACUCAUACUGAUUGAUGAACUGGGACAUGGUACCAGGUCUCUGGUUAUUAUAUCGGAAGAGAAAGAAGCCAUUGCUCAGAAUUACGAGAUACAACAAGCCCAUUCUUUCUCUGGUUGAGAGGAUUGGCAGGUCCUCAUAGAAACUUAUGCCCUCUAGUUACUCAUCAAGUGGUACUACACAGAGAGAGAGAGAGUGGAUGAGGAACCUAUAGAAACACGUUGAGAAGAUAUUAUAUACGUAAAGCAGCUUUAAAGUCGUAUCACUAACACAGACAAAAUGAUGAUGAUGAAGAUGAUGAAAAAAGAAGAAACAAAAGAAGAAAAUAAACCUGCUACUGCUGUCUCUCCUGUCACUGUCUCUUCUACUAAUUUAAAAGAUUUUGUCAGUCAGUCUUAGUUUCUGAUCACCUCUAAAAGUAUGAUCAUGGGUUUAGCUUGGACGUCACUGAGUGUUACAACUCUAUGUGGAGACAGGCAUGAUUGAAGGGCAGGGGUUGUCUAAGUAGGGAGAAGGAAGUAUGACUACUACUGGUCAGAUGGGAGAUGUAAUGAAUGAGUCCACUGUCAUUGCUUAUGCAUUUGCUAAGGGUGCUAUCCCAAAGAACGGUCCUUGCCAAGUGUUACUAUAGUCUUUGCCCUCCUCUCACUAGCUAGUCUAUGGAUCAUCCAAUACAUCAGAGUAUUGCCAUGACUGGUAAACUGUCACUCACAGGAAAGGCAAAACACUCAGGCAUAAGCUGUAUUAUACUGCCUGAGGCCAAUAAGAGGGACUAUGAGGAUCAGCUGAUUGCAUUACCUUAAGCGGUUAGCAGUGAUCAUGGAAGGGGAAACAAGGCACAGGGCUGGUACUGGUACAUCUGAAGAAGACAAAGAGAAAUGUCAUAUAUGAUGUUUUGGAUCAACCCGAACCCCUAGAUCCUGAAACAACAGACGAGGAGGGUGGUAGAGUCCUUUUGAAAAGAGGCACUAACAAUAGUCGUAAGAAAUGAAAUAUCAUGAUACUAGUAGCGUUGAACCUCAAACCACACUGGAGGAUCAGAUCUGCAAAAGAGAUCAAUGAAGAUUAUGUUAGCUUAAUACAAUGGUGGCAGCUCCAAUGGGACAACAUAGCACAUAAAACUUUUGCUGAAUCAAUGGACAAAAAAGAAUAUGUUUCGUUUGUCUAAAGGUAGUUUCUCCUAAUGUCAUUCACUGAUAUCAGGUAGCAUCGGCCUAGGCAGGUACCUCCUUCUACAAUGAAUCAAAGAUCAACAGAUACUAAUACACUGACUUGACAACAAUGAACAAUACAAGAGACAGCAUGAAAUAAGAUAGCUGCAUUAGGAUAGAGUGAGUUGGUGACUCAUUCAUUUGACUUUAACUACUUUGAUAUUACUGAUAAUGUGUAUUAAUAUACAGUAGAUGUUAGGUUUAUAGUCAAUAAUUAUUGAUAAUACUUUAA